GGGAGAUGGCUCAGUGGUUAAGAGCACUGGCCGCUCCUCAGAGGAUCUGGGUUUGAUUCCCAGCACCCA
rnacentral:tRNA from 1 species